rnacentral:lncRNA from 1 species
GGAUUCCUUAUCUUCCUCUAGGAAGAGCUGCAUUCAAUGUUUGGAGUACUUUUAUAAGCCAACUUGGAACUCUACCAAGAACUUCCUCGAAGGAUGUCGUGGAUCACUUUCAUACUGAGUGACCAUCCUGAUACUUGUGACUGGAGUAAUGACAUACCCAGACACAAGUGAAUGUAUGGAGGGAUUCGCUCCAUUUGAUUCACUCUGGGGUUUUUGACAAAAUGUCUUCAUCAGAACAACCUACCUCUAUGGAAAUACCUUUUCAAGAUACAAACAAAUGAGGAGUGAUGUGUAAAGAUGGCUGACUUGAAGGACCAUUUAUGAAUGGAAACCAUCUUAUACUUUCAAGAGGAAGAGGCUUGACAUUCAUGGUGCAGUCACUUAUAGAAUGACUGCUUUCCUACUUCUGCAGGGAUGAAGCCUGCCUCAAAGGAAAGUUUCUAAGAGGCCAGGAAAGAAUUCAGGAGAAAGGAAACAGCAGGAAGACCCUGUAUUUCUCUGCAGAUCAGCAGGACUGCUUGCCAACACCAACAUCGCAAUGUUUCAGAGCCCAAUUUUCCAUAUUUUGAAACGGCUUGCAGCGAUUCCACGGAGCGAGUCAAUCUGCCAUCAACGGGGGCUUUUCUGUUUGUGGCUAAACUUUCUAUUCUGUGGCACCUCAGCUAAAUGGUGAAGGUUUAACUUUUUGAAAAUAAAUAAAAAAUGAUGGUGACUCAUA